AGAGCGAACGCUGGCGGCAGGCCUAAUACAUGCAAGUCGAACGCACCUUCGGGUGAGUGGCGGACGGGUGAGUAACACGUGGGAACGUGCCUUUUGGUUCGGAAUAAUCCGGGGAAACCUGGCCUAAUACCGAAUGUGCCCCCUCCUUUAACCAGGGGGGUGGGAAAGAUUUAUCGCCAUUAGAGCGGCCCGCGUCUGAUUAGCUAGUUGGUGAGGUAAUGGCCCACCAAGGCUACGAUCAGUAGCUGGUCUGAGAGGAUGAUCAGCCACACUGGGACUGAGACACGGCCCAGACUCCUACGGGAGGCAGCAGUAGGGAAUCUUGCGCAAUGGGCGAAAGCCUGACGCAGCCAUGCCGCGUGAAUGAUGAAGGUCUUAGGAUUGUAAAAUUCUUUCAGCGGGAAGAUAAUGACUGUACCCGCAGAAGAAGCUCCGGCUAACUUCGUGCCAGCAGCCGC
rnacentral:rRNA from 1 species